UACCCAUAUCACAGGUCACUGCAAAUUCGUAAGAAGACGUAUAGUGGCUGACGCCUGCCCGGUGUUGUAAGGUUAACUUUUAAUGUUUUAGCUUUGAAUUUAAGCCACAAUAAACGGCGGCUGUAACUCUGACGGUCUAAAGGUAGCGAAAUUCUUUGUCACCUAAUUAGUGACCUGCAUGAAUGGCGUAACGACUUUUUUACUGUCUCUUGCGCAAGCUUAGUGAAAUUGAAAUAACUGUGAAGAUACGGUUUUUUAAUAGCAAGACGAAAAGACCCUGGCACCUUUACUGCAGGUAUCUAUUGUAACUGUGUAUUUUUUGUAUAGAAUAAGUGGUAGUUUUUUAGGCUAAAACAUCUGUGAAAUACCACUCUUAAACUAUAUUUUUACUAACUUAAACUGGAGAGAACAGUGGGUAUUGGGUAGUUUGGCUGGGGCGGUCACCUUCCAAAUUGUAACGAAGGUGUGCAAAAGGCAAAUUCAAAGAUGCUUUUUUUUUGAUGAGUGCAAUAGCAAAAAUUUGCUUGACUGUAAGAAAUACAAUUCAAGCAGGGAUUUACGUCGGUUAUAGUGAUCUGAUGUUUUUUUAUGGAGAAAGCAUCACUUUUCGGAAAAAAGGUACGCCAGGGAUAACAGGCUAAUGAUUUUUUAGAGUUCUUAUCGACAAAAUUGUUUGGCACCUCGAUGUCGGCUUUUCACAUCCUGGAGCUGUAGUUGGUUCCAAGGGUUUGGUUGUUCGC
rnacentral:rRNA from 1 species